GCCGCCCCGCCGCCCCGGCGCCGGCCCCUCUCACCCUUUCAUCCUCUGCCCGGGGCCUGACGCGGGCCGGCGGAUCCCCGGCCUCACAUCGGAGUGAGAGGCGCUGGCGAUGGACCGGGAGGCUCGGCUGCCGCUGCUGCUGCUCCCCCUGGGCUCCGGCGGGAGCCUUUCCCGGUCAGGCAAGAGGGCCAAGAAGGCAGGGCUGCCGGGGCCGCACUAGAAGAGGCGGCAGCCUCCUACAGCACCACUACAGGCACUGCGAGGACAUAACACCAGAGAGCCGCUCCUCGGCCUCCGAAACGACAACUUUCCUACCAUCUUGGAGGCCGAGCAAAGGGGGGCCGGGGGGAAAAGUGCACCCGCUCCCGAUAAAGUACACAUCCCGACUUCUCAUCUCCGGAAAACCGUCCACACCGGCCGUCUACACCGGCGCCUGGGGCGGGGGGAGCGGGGAAGACCCCGGGGGUGCUUGAGGAAAAC
rnacentral:lncRNA from 1 species